rnacentral:rRNA from 1 species
GUGCCAGCAGCCGCUGUAAUACAGAGGUCCCAAGCGUUACUCGGAAUUACUGGGCGUAAAGCGUGCGUAGGUGGUUCGUUAAGUCUGAUGUGAAAGCCCUGGGCUCAACCUGGGAAUGGCAUUGGAUACUGGCGAUCUAGAGUGCGGUAGAGGGCAGUGGAGUUCCCGGUGUAGCAGUGAAAUGCGUAGAGAUCGGGAGGAACAUCUGUGGCGAAGGCGACUGCCUGGACCAGCACUGACACUGAGGCACGAAAGCGUGGGGAGCAAACAGGGUUAGAAACCCUGGUAGUCC